UGCCAGACUCCUACGGGAGGCAGCAGUGGGGGAUAUUGCACAAUGGGGGAAACCCUGAUGCAGCGACGCCGCGUGGGCGAAGAAGUAUUUCGGUAUGUAAAGCCCUAUCAGCAGGGAAGAAGAAAUGACGGUACCUGAGUAAGAAGCACCGGCUAACUACGUGCCAGCAGCCGCGGUAAUACGUAGGGGGCAAGCGUUAUCCGGAUUUAUUGGGUUUAAAGGGUGCGUAGGCGGAAUGCCAAGUCAGCGGUAAAAUCGCGGGGCUCACCCUCGCUCCGCCGUUGAAACUGGCGUUCUUGAGUGGGCGAGAAGUAUGCGGAAUGCGUGGUGUAGCGGUGAAAUGCAUAGAUAUCACGCAGAACUCCGAUUGCGAAGGCAGCAUACCGGCGCCCAACUGACGCUGAAGCACGAAAGCGUGGGUAUCGAACAGGAUUAGAUACCCCUGUA
rnacentral:rRNA from 1 species